GACGAACGCUGGCGGCGUGCCUAAUACAUGCAAGUCGAACGCAGUGGGGACGGGUGAGUAACACGUGGGUAACCUCCCAUCAGAGGGGAUAACCCUUGGAAACAGGUGCUAAACCGAUACUGAUGGAUGGACCCGCGGUGCAUUAGCUAGUUGGUGAGGUAACGGCUCACCAAGGCCACGAUGCAUAGCAGACCUGGGAGGGGGAUCAGCCACACGGGGACUGAGACACGGCCCAGAAUCCUACGUGAGGAGGCAGUGAGGAAUCUUCGGCAAUAGACGAAAGUCAGAUCGAGGAACGCCGCGUGAGUGAAGAAGGUUUUCGGAUCGUAAAACACUGUUAUUAGAGAAGCGGUAUCUAACCAGAAAGCCAUGGCUAACUACGUGCCAGCAGCCGCGGUAAUAC
rnacentral:rRNA from 1 species